rnacentral:rRNA from 1 species
GUUUCCUACGGUGCGCAGCAGUCGGGAAUAUUGCGCAAUGGAGGAAACUCUGACACAGUGACGCCGCGUGCAGGAAGAAGGUUUUCGGAUUGUAAACCGCUUUAGACAGGGAAGAAAAAAGACAGUACCUGUAGAAUAAGCUCUGGCUAACUACGUGCCAGCAGCCGCGGUAAUACGUAGGGAGCAAGCGUUAUCCGGAUUUAUUGGGUGUAAAGGGUGCGUAGACGGGAAUGCAAGUUGGUUGUGAAAUCCCUCGGCUUAACUGAGGAACU